GACGAACGCUGGCGGCGUGCCUAAUACAUGCAAGUAGAACGCACAGUUUAUACCGUAGCUUGCUACACCAUAGACUGUGAGUUGCGAACGGGUGAGUAACGCGUAGGUAACCUGCCUGGUAGCGGGGGAUAACUAUUGGAAACGAUAGCUAAUACCGCAUAAUAUUGAUUAUUGCAUGAUAAUUGAUUGAAAGAUGCUAUUGCAUCACUACCAGAUGGACCUGCGUUGUAUUAGCUAGUAGGUGAGGUAACGGCUCACCUAGGCGACGAUACAUAGCCGACCUGGGAGGGUGAUCGGCCAAACUGGGACUGAGACACGGCCCAGACUCCUACGGGAGGCAGCAGUAGGGAAACUUCGGCAAUGGACGAAAGUCUGACCGAGCAACGCCGCGUGAGGGAAGAAGGUUUUCGGAUCGUAAAGCUCUGUUGUAAGGGAAGAACGGGUGUGAGAGUGGAAAGUUCACACUGUGACGGUAUCUUACCAGAAAGGGACGGCUAACUACGUG
rnacentral:rRNA from 1 species